CCGUCCUUUUUUAUUCCUUUUUCUUUCCUGCUUACUCACCAACGUUUCAUGCUUUGUGGUUGACUUUUAAAUCUUCCACGUGUCCAUAGUCUUUCUUAUCUCUGGUCAAACCCACCGUCUCUCAUACCGACUUUCUGAAAUUUUCCAUCGCCUAUCCGUAAUCCAUAUCCCCUUCGACGUCUGUUACUGCUCCUUCAGCCUCACCAUCUCCAUCAAUGUUUCUCUUUAAAAAACCGUCGUCUCCAUCAUAUGACCAAACCCACCGACUCAUCCAUCCUCAACUUCAAACGAACCCGUUACUAUUCACCGGUCUUCCAUUAAGUGGUAGCAAGGUCGGCCACCAGGAAAUUGAUCCAGCCAUAUGAUUUCAUUCUUUGUGUUCUCACUUUUCAAGGGUUUUCGUAACCCUAUGCGUCUGUCUACCCCUCCUCCAUUUGCUGAGGAAGCACAAUAUUCGUCCGAAGCGGACUACACCAUCCUCAAAAUCGCAAGAAUUAACGAUUCCACUGUUGUUCAAGAUGUUGGUGGAGAAUGAUGAGUUGCUGACUGCUUUUCAUCCAACCUUCAAGUCUACUUCUUGCCGGAUCUAAACCCUAGACGGUCCAGGAGACCACCUCCAUCGACAUGUCAGUAAAAAAUACAUACUGAUUCACAGCUGUUCAACUCUUCACAUUGCAACUCAAAGAAGGAGCCACUGUAUUAUCUUUUUCCAAUUCUGUUUUUGGAAGAUCUACCAAAUACGACAUACUACUUCAUCACAGUAUCUCAUCUCCAAGGUUCUCUGCUUUCCAAUUAUGCCAAAUUGAUUAGGAAGUGGGAGUUCAGGGAUUAGAAAGCUCAAAAAACAAGGAGAGUUAGGAACAAAAAAAAUCAAGAAUUCAAAAGUAAGAAGGCAAAAGUUUGGUCCAGUCUUCCCCAUUUCGGCUCCACAAACUUUGAUUUGGCAGGCUUCUGCAUGUCCCAUUGCCAUUGUGUAUUAUUGAAAAGUUCAAUAUUUCAACCAGGUGCGAUAGUUACUUCAUGAUUGAUGUUCUCCAUGAUGUGUGUAAAUAUUUCACUUUCUUUUUUACUUUCUUCUUCUUCUUCUUCUUCUGUAUCUGUUAAUGGUAUUUAUAAACCGAGUUGCAGGUUUUAAUCAUGAAAAUGUUAAACCAUCCAAAUAUAGUAAAUCUGAUAGAAGUAAUUGAUGAUCAUUUCUACAUGUGUAUGCAACAGUUAACACCUUCAUUUUAAUCUUAUUGUAUAAAAUAUAAACACUACAUAUUUACUAUUAGUCUUCCGCUGCCUGAGCAGCCGCCCUUGACAUACCAUUACAGUCUCGAUUCCUCAUGAAUAUUGGAAUGAUAGAUCUUUAAUGGACAAAAAUGAUGUUGAAGAAUUGAAGAUGCAAAGAGGAGAUAGAAUCACAUGCUUAUUCUAAAGGGCUGUUGAAUAAUCUAACACAAGCCUUGGGUUCUUGUGGAGUAAUACUUGAAUAAUCUAACGCAACUAGAAAUGAUUUUCUACCUGCGCCACCGCCGACGGUGCCCAUCCGUCGGAAUAUAGUAUUUUCUUCCUUCGUUACAGCUCACGCCACUAAAAUUUCACAAAUCAUUCUCUCUCUCUCUCUCUCUCUCUCUCUCUCUCUCUUUUGUGUAGAUUGUAGUUUUUUUUGGCAUUUAUAAAUUGGUAAGUUCCACCUACAACUUCUCCAAUCCCUUCCUCUCAUUUGUAUGGUCUGAUGAUUUGUAUUGUGUUUUUUUUACAGAGCUUCAAUGUUGUUCCCAGAUGUUUCUCCCCUUUUUGGAACAUCUUCAACCGACUAGAGUUCGGAACCACUCACCUCAAACGAAAUGAAAUGUUGACUUUGGUCGAAAUUCUUCGGGAGGAGUCCAUGAGCUGAUCCGGUGAAAAUUAAACGCCAACAGAAACUUACGUUUUGUAUAAAUGUUUAUAGCGUUUUUCUGCAAAUUACACAGAAUAGCAACAUAUUUUAAUGUGGAUACCAAUUUAUGCAAUGUACUUCAUUAUUUGUCUCACAAAA